rnacentral:rRNA from 1 species
AGUGAACGCUGGCGGUAGGCCUAACACAUGCAAGUCGAACGGCAGCACAGUAAGAGCUUGCUCUUACGGGUGGCGAGUGGCGGACGGGGGAGGAAUACAUCGGAAUUUACUUUUUCGUGGGGGAUAACGUAGGGAAACUUACGCUAAUACCGCAUACGACCUACGGGUGAAAGCAGGGGAUCUUCGGACCUUGCGCGAUUGAAUGAGCCGAUGUCGGAUUAGCUAGUUGGCGGGGUAAGGGCCCACCAAGGCGACGAUCCGUAGCUGGUCUGAGAGGAUGAUCAGCCACACUGGAACUGAGACACGGUCCAGACUCCUACGGGAGGCAGCAGUGGGGAAUAUUGGACAAUGGGCGCAAGCCUGAUCCAGCCAUACCGCGUGGGUGAAGAAGGCCUUCGGGUUGUAAAGCCCUUUUGUUGGGAAAGAAAAGCAGCAGGUUAAUACCCCGCUGUUCUGACGGUACCCAAAGAAUAAGCACCGGCUAACUUCGUG